UUUUAUGGAGAGUUUGAUCCUGGCUCAGGACGAACGCUGGCGGCGUGCCUAAUACAUGCAAGUCGAGCGAAGUUUAUGGGAGCUUGCUCCUAAUAAACUUAGCGGCGGACGGGUGAGUAACACGUGGGCAACCUGCCUGUAAGACUGGGAUAACCCCGGGAAACCGGAGCUAAUACCGGAUAAGCUGUUAGUACGCAUGUAGAUAACAGGGAAAGAUGGCGCAAGCUAUCACUUACAGAUGGGCCCGCGGCGCAUUAGCUAGUUGGUAGGGUAACGGCCUACCAAGGCGACGAUGCGUAGCCGACCUGAGAGGGUGAUCGGCCACACUGGGACUGAGACACGGCCCAGACUCCUACGGGAGGCAGCAGUAGGGAAUCUUCCGCAAUGGACGAAAGUCUGACGGAGCAACGCCGCGUGAGUGAUGAAGCCCCGGCUAACUACGUGCCAGCAGCCGCGGUAAUACGUAGGGGGCAAGCGUUGUCCGGAAUUAUUGGGCGUAAAGCGCGCGCAGGCGGCUCUUUAAGUCUGAUGUGAAAGCCCACGGCUCAACCGUGGAGGGUCAUUGGAAACUGGGGAGCUUGAGUGCAGGAGAGGAAAGUGGAAUUCCAUGUGUAGCGGUGAAAUGCGUAGAUAUAUGGAGGAACACCAGUGGCGAAGGCGGCUUUCUGGCCUGUAACUGACGCUGAGGCGCGAAAGCGUGGGGAGCAAACAGGAUUAGAUACCCUGGUAGUCCACGCCGUAAACGAUGAGUGCUAGGUGUUAGGGGUUUCGACGCCCUUAGUGCCGCAGUUAACACAUUAAGCACUCCGCCUGGGGAGUACGGCCGCAAGGUUGAAACUCAAAGGAAUUGACGGGGGCCCGCACAAGCAGUGGAGCAUGUGGUUUAAUUCGAAGCAACGCGAAGAACCUUACCAGGGCUUGACAUCCCGUUGACCGGUGUAGAGAUACAUCUUUUUCUUCGGAAACAACGGUGACAGGUGGUGCAUGGUUGUCGUCAGCUCGUGUCGUGAGAUGUUGGGUUAAGUCCCGCAACGAGCGCAACCCUUGAUCUUAGUUGCCAGCAUUAAGUUGGGCACUCUAAGGUGACUGCCGGUGACAAACCGGAGGAAGGUGGGGAUGACGUCAAAUCAUCAUGCCCCUUAUGUCCUGGGCUACACACGUGCUACAAUGGCUGGUACAAAGGGUAGCGAAGCCGUGAGGCCAAGCCAAUCCCAAAAAGCCAGUCUCAGUUCGGAUUGUAGGCUGCAACUCGCCUACAUGAAGCCGGAAUUGCUAGUAAUCGCGGAUCAGCAUGCCGCGGUGAAUACGUUCCCGGGCCUUGUACACACCGCCCGUCACACCACGAGAGUUUGCAACACCCAAAGUCGGUGAGGUAACCAAUAUGGAGCCAGCCGCCUAAGGUGGGGCAGAUGAUUGGGGUGAAGUCGUAACAAGGUAGCCGUAUCGGAAGGUGCGGCUGGAUCACCUCCUUUCUAUGGAG
rnacentral:rRNA from 1 species